rnacentral:rRNA from 1 species
GAUGAACGCUGGCGGCGUGCCUAAUACAUGCAAGUCGAGCGAACGGACGAGAAGCUUGCUUCUCUGAUGUUAGCGGCGGACGGGUGAGUAACACGUGGAUAACCUACCUAUAAGACUGGGAUAACUUCGGGAAACCGGAGCUAAUACCGGAUAAUAUUUUGAACCGCAUGGUUCAAAAGUGAAAGACGGUCUUGCUGUCACUUAUAGAUGGAUCCGCGCUGCAUUAGCUAGUUGGUAAGGUAACGGCUUACCAAGGCAACGAUGCAUAGCCGACCUGAGAGGGUGAUCGGCCACACUGGAACUGAGACACGGUCCAGACUCCUACGGGAGGCAGCAGUAGGGAAUCUUCCGCAAUGGGCGAAAGCCUGACGGAGCAACACCGCGUGAGUGAUGAAGGUCUUCGGAUCGUAAAACUCUGUUAUUAGGGAAGAACAUAUGUGUAGGUAACUGUGCACAUCUUGACGGUACCUAAUCAGAAAGCCACGGCUAACUACGUG